AACUAAUGUUGUGGGCAUUUGGUGCACAAUUUAUUGAAUCUCUCCCAGUAGUCAUAUAAGGAUUCCCCAUGUUAUUGUUUGAUAUUACAUAUCUCUUUUCUCAAACU